GAAAGCCGGAUGCGGUGAAAGUCGCACGUCCGGUUUGGGCAGGGAAGAUAGAAAAUCCUGGAUUUGCUUGAUUUUCUAGGCGACCUAGCAUCUGGAUCAGAGGGUUCCGGGUUCGAUCCCUGGC
rnacentral:ncRNA from 1 species